rnacentral:tRNA from 13 species
GACUCGGUGGCGCAACGGUAGCGCGUCUGACUCCAUGUCAGAAGGCUGCGUGUUCAAAUCACAUCCAGGUCU